rnacentral:rRNA from 1 species
UACAGAGGUCUCAAGCGUUGUUCGGAUUCAUUGGGCGUAAAGGGUGCGUAGGCGGCGCGGUAAGUCGGGUGUGAAAUUUCGGAGCUUAACUCCGAAACUGCAUUUGAUACUGCGGUGCUUGAGGACUGGAGAGGAGACUGGAAUUCACGGUGUAGCAGUGAAAUGCGUAGAUAUCGUGAGGAAGACCAGUGGCGAAGGCGGGUCUCUGGACAGUUCCUGACGCUGAGGCACGAAGGUCAGGGGAGCAAACGGG